AUUGAACGCUGGCGGCAUGCCUUACACAUGCAAGUCGAACGGCAGCACGGGAGCUUGCUCCUGGUGGCGAGUGGCGAACGGGUGAGUAAUGCAUCGGAACGUAUCCUGGAGUGGGGGAUAACGUAGCGAAAGUUACGCUAAUACCGCAUAUUCUGUGAGCAGGAAAGCGGGGGACCUUCGGGCCUCGCGCUCUUGGAGCGGCCGAUGUCGGAUUAGCUAGUUGGUGAGGUAAAGGCUCACCAAGGCGACGAUCCGUAGCAGGUCUGAGAGGAUGAUCUGCCACACUGGAACUGAGACACGGUCCAGACUCCUACGGGAGGCAGCAGUGGGGAAUUUUGGACAAUGGGGGCAAUCCUGAUCCAGCCAUGCCGCGUGAGUGAAGAAGGCCUUCGGGUUGUAAAGGACUUUUGUCCGGGAGGAAACCCUGGUCGUGAACAACGGCCGGGACUGACAGUACCGGAAGAAUAAGCACCGGCUAACUACGUGCCAGCCGCCGCCGUAA
rnacentral:rRNA from 1 species